GGAAUAUAAGGCUAUGGAUGACAGCUCAAUUAAGAAAGGUAAGAAUACCGACUUAUAUUGUGUGUACUGUAAUUUGUAUCCUGCUCCAACUCUGGAAUAGAAGUGUCAUUCUUUUCGAGCCAAGCCAAUAUUGUUGUAUCUCCUUUUAGGCAUGAUGCGUGCUUGGGUUGCACCCUAGUAAGCAUUUCAUCAUAAAAACCUUGUUAGCUUUCUUCAUUGAUUUCAUUGGUAACAGCAAUUUUGCAAUAUCUGUCUGUAACUAUUAUUGUCACUAUUCUAUUGGUGUGUGAGUGUAUUUAAAAGUAAAGUAGGUAAGAGAAAGGGCACAACAAUUUCCUAUAUGUAAACAGGAACAACAAAAAAGAGCGUGCAUCAAACUUAGUCCUAAGAAAGAGAAAGACUGAAGAUGGCAAAAGCUGAGAAAUCAUCAUAAAAAAUUUUAAUUGAUCUGUUGCAGUACAUUUUUUCUCCUUGAAUUUCUGUAAAGUUCUGCCAUGAUAAUAUUUGUUGCAUGCUUGCACUAAACAUGCAUAGACUGCUCCCUAGACUACCUACUGGUCCGUAAAUCUGUAACUAAGUUCCUGCUAGUGCUAGAUAGAAGAUCAACUAUAAACAGGGAAAAACUGUUACACAAGACAGUGGACAACAAAAAAGAGAUUGCAUUUCAUGGUUACAGCAAUUGUACAGUAAAUGAUCCACAAAUGUCUGCUUCCUGUUUGCACAUAAGUACACACUAACCACAAUUUAUUCUUCUUUUUUCUAAGUUUGUAGCUGCAAUAAAGAAUUCUUUAACAUCUAUCCAUAUAAAGAAAAUGAUAUUUUAACAAAUAAAAUACUAACAUAGAAGAGUUCUUAUUCAUCAAGUGUCAUUUGUGAGAACUGAGAAGCCUAUCUGGAAGCAGCUUUUCAGAGAAGCAGAGCUUCCUUGGAGUUAAAUUUGAGCACCAUUAACUGUGACAAAAAACUUCUCUCAUCAAAAUGUUCUAAAAAAAUUAGUGGUGAAUAUUUUUUUCAACUUCUAGCUUAUUCUUUGAUUGGCAGUUCUAUAGUUGCCACGGUACCACUGUUGGUUACUAUUAAGUGCGAGUAUGGAAAUCUUUCUUAAUUUUUCUUUCUAUAAUAAAUUUCACUUCAUUGCCUAUCUUUUAAGGCACAUUGCUAUAGAGUGUUCCUACACGAUACCUACUCCACACACCUGUCUAUGAAGUGGCACAUUGCUUCUCCAGACGUUGACUAAGACCUUCCAUCCAUUUACCUUUUUCUACACUCAUUACCUUUCAAAAACUUUCAUUUUCUGCUGGACACCUUCAAGCGGCCACUUAUCUAACCUAAUUAAAUAUUCUGAAUUUGCAUUUUCCAAGUUUGCUGAUGUUAGAUGGAUGCCUCUGGCUAUUUCCAUUUUAAUUUAUAAAUCCAAGUACCUGAGUUGGUGAUGAUGGAUAGCUUACCUUUGUGGCAUAUUCAUCAGCUAUUCAUUCUGGUAUGGUUGAAUAUUAUUAAAGUUUUCAUUGCCCUUUGCGUUUUUGGUACAAACAUUCUACUAGGUUUUCGUGUUUUAGCACUCUGUUAUUGAAAGAUAGUUUUCUUAAAAAUCAGGUUUGACUUGCAGGUGUCACUUUGGAAGAUCCACGGACUGAAGAUCUUAGCCAAGAAGUUAGAGGGUUCAUUUUUUCCAAAAUACUGGAACGUAAACCUGAGCUUACCUCUGAGAUAAUGGCUUACUGAGACUAUUUACUUUCGUCAACGAUAUCUGAUACGCUUGAUGUUUGGCAACUAAAAGGAAAUCAAUCAGAAUUUUCCUAGUGUAGUUUCUUCUUUGUCUCGCAUGAAGCUCAGUGAUUCGGUUAAAGAUGAAAUAACAGCAAACCAGUGAAUGAUUCCUCCUGGAAAGUCCUUAAUGGCUCUGAAUGGUGCUUUAAUCAAUAUUGAGGAUAUUGACCUUUAUCUGUAAUGCUUCUGCCCGUAUUAGAGUUUCCCUCCUUUCUUCCUGAAGAUCUUGCCAUUAUGAAUUCUUGAAUUCUUUAUCUUUUUUCCAUCUAAAUCUGAAGUUCUGACAGCUAUUGCUCAAUAUCAAACUUGAAUACUUUUGAACUACUGCAACUUUCAAACUUGAGGACUUGGCUUCUUAUGUUAAUGAAACAUGAGCUAUUUGAUUUUAUUUUCCCUCUCUGUUUUCUUCACCUCUCUAAAUCAGAUUCUAUAAUAUUAG
rnacentral:misc_RNA from 1 species